CCGAUUUGGGCUGAUUUGGGUAAUUCUAUGGACCGGUAGUGAGGGCUUAGAUAAAGAGGUGGAGCAGAGGAAGCUAGGACACAUAAGAAGAGAUUCUAGUGAAACAGCAGGGAAUUAAGAAGAGGUGAACAAGACAGAGAGAAGCUUUCUUCACGUCGUUUUGACGUAAAAAUGCUAGAGAGCAUCUAUGAUGUGUGGCAACAACCUCUAGUCUCAUUGGAAAGGCAACUGAUGACCUUCAACUUUCUUUCCAGAGAGGUGAGUGCGAGGAAUGGUGUGUAUGUGGGCUUGGCUGUGGCUCCGGAUGUGACUAUGGGGAGGGCACUCUAAGCUGUCUGGGGAGUGCGGCCUUGUUGACGACCCCAGCGAGCAGUCUACAGCUGGCAGUGCGCGG